rnacentral:lncRNA from 1 species
GAGAAGGCGAUUUUGUGUGAGAAAGGAAACAACAGGGGCGUUAAGGAAAUGGGUGGUGGAAAACAAAUGGAUGGCUCAAAAAUAAACAGCUUUAUGAAUCAAGAAUUUUCUGAAGCAGAACUGGCAUUAAAAAGCUGUAAAAUGGUCAUACCUGCCCACACAAGUUCAAGAGGAAAUUCAAAUUCUAAAAAUUUAAAACAAAAAUAUAAAAUAAAUUACGUUUCAGCUCAUAUCAAUAAAUUCAACCCUUAUUCAAGUUCAUACUUCAAGUAUCAUAAAUCUCAGAAGCGCAGAUAACCAGCGAAAAUCAAACUCUAAAAAAAUACGGAAUUCGAGCCUUUUAACUGGU